UGCGUUCGGGCUGCAAUUCAGCUUUCCNGCG
rnacentral:piRNA from 1 species